CCUACGGGUGGCAGCAGUGGGGAAUAUUGCACAAUGGGGGAAACCCUGAUGCAGCGACGCCGCGUGAGUGAAGAAGUAUUUCGGUAUGUAAAGCUCUAUCAGCAGGGAAGAAAAUGACGGUACCUGAUUAAGAAGCCCCGGCUAACUACGUGCCAGCAGCCGCGGUAAUACGUAGGGGGCAAGCGUUAUCCGGAUUUACUGGGUGUAAAGGGGGCGUAGACGGCAGCACAAGUCUGGAGUGAAAUGCCGGGGCUUAACCCCGGAACUGCUGUGGAAACUGUGCAGCUAGAGUGAAGGAGAGGUAAGUGGAAUUCGUAGUGUAGCGGUGAAAUGCGUAGAUAUUAGGAGGAACACCAGUGGCGAAGGCGGCUUACUGGACUGUAACUGACGUUGAGGCUCGAAAGCGUGGGGAGCAAACAGGAUUAGAUACCCCUGUAGUC
rnacentral:rRNA from 1 species